GAUGAAGAACGCAGCGAAAUGCGACAAGUAAUGUGAUUUGCAGAAUUCAGUGAAUCAUCGAAUCUUUGAACGCACAUUGCGCCCGCUAGUAUUCUGGCGGGCAUGCCCGUCCGAGCGUCAUUUCAACCCUCAAGCCCCCGGGCUUGGUGUUGGGGAUCGGCGAGCCUCCGCGCCCGCCGUCCCCUAAAUCUAGUGGCGGUCUCGCUGUAGCUUCCUCUGCGUAGUAGCACACCUCGCACUGGGAAACAGCGCGGCCACGCCGUUAAACCCCCAACUUCUGAACGUUUGACCUCGGAUCAGGUAGGAAUACCCGCUGAACUUAAGCAUAUCAAUAAGCGGAGGA
rnacentral:misc_RNA from 1 species